rnacentral:rRNA from 1 species
CCUACGGGAGGCAGCAGUGAGGAAUAUUGGUCAAUGGGCGGAAGCCUGAACCAGCCAAGUAGCGUGCAGGAUGACGGCCCUACGGGUUGUAAACUGCUUUUAUACGGGAAUAACGCGCCUUACGUGUAGGGCUUUGCAUGUACCGUAUGAAUAAGGACCGGCUAAUUCCGUGCCAGCCGCCGGUGUAAUACGGAAGGUACGGGCGUUAUCCGGAUUUAUUGGGUGUAAAGGGAGCGUAGGCCGCAUGACAAGCGUGCUGUGAAAGGUCCGGGCUCAACCCGGGCCUUGCAGCGCGAACUGGCGUGCUUGAGUCCGCGGAAAGCAGGCGGAAUUCGUCGUGUAGCGGUGAAAUGCUUAGAUAUGACGAAGAACCCCGAUUGCGAAGGCAGCUUGCUGCAGCGGAACUGACGCUGAUGCUCGAAAGCGCGGGUAUCGAACAGGAAUAGAUACCCCAGUAGUC